GCAAUAAUAUUGAUAAUAAUUAUAAUGGCACCAUUAUCAUAAUAACAACAAUACUAAAAGUAAUUAGUGUGGAUAGGUGCAAACGAAAUAUGAUGAUUUUUGUAGUUUUUCACCAUGAUGUAAUUUAUCGGACUUUUUGUAAAAUAUCUCUGGAUGUCCAUUCUUAGAUAUACACAUACUUAAUUCUGUUCAACACCCAAUGGCGAAUGCAGUUGCGCCAACUUCUCAAUAGGUGGCGCUACGUGACAUCAGGGUUCCACGUGACACUAUCAAAAACAAGGAAGUAAACGACUUUGCAUCUCUAACAUUUUGUAAAAGUUCUAUAAAUAAUGCCUUCUUUGUGUUUUUGUGUUCCUCAAUACCACGGAAGAAGGAAACCGUUUUCCAAGUGACAAGAUAUUGUUAAAAAGACAGAUUGUUGCCAUGAGAUAAGACAAAUGUCACUGAAAGUCGACCAUCAGUGUUGUUUGUUUUUACAGACUGCAUAUCAUGUGACCAGAAGAUUAUAAAACAUGUACAGAACUAGUACGGUUCCUUAAAGACUGAAGCUAGAAGCCAUUCCAUGCUUGUUUUUUAUGGACAGAGCCUGAUUUAUUGUCUUGUUGGGACAGGACAAACAGAUUACAAAAUGGAAACAAUAAGAAAAAUGCCAGAUUUGUAUUCAGAUGAUGAAACAGUUUUUCCUUGGUGAAAAAGAAAAGAAGUAAUAAGUGUCAAUGUGUCAGAUAUUGAAGUUGUGAGAUACAAGUGAAUAUCAGACUGUACUUGGAACAUUGAAUACUGAAAUUUUUGAAAUGCUUUGAAUUACUAAAAGUUAGUCCAUUGAAAGUUGUCAUCCAAUGUAAGCCAUGAAAAUCUUUUAAUAAUGGUAAUAAAAUUGAUAUGAAACAGGGGUUUUCCACCUGGACUUUUAUUCAGUACCAUUUCACCUGUUAUUUGUAUGAUUAAAGCCUACAUGAAAUUGCGUUCUGAAUACUUGCCCCAGAUCAAACGGUCAAUGUCAUGGGUGGGGAUCCUUGAAUCAUUGCCUUACAAUGAUAAUACAUAUUGUAAGGAUGUGUCAUGAAUGAAAAUCAAGUAGAUACAGAACUUUCUAUAAUAUAAAAAUGUACAUUUCCAAUGUUCUGCAAUAGAGAAAGUGAAGUGCAUCAUAUGUGUUUGAACCUUUUAAUAUUUUUUUUUUUUUUUUUACAUAAUUGUCAUAGUGAAAAAUCACAGGUUUUGUUUGUUUAAUAAACCUUAUAAACAAGGACAUUGUUAAUAAUGUCUAAUUUACUCAUUUUUAAAGAGAGAAAAAAAUGGAUAGAUAAUUUGUAUCAUUAUUAUUAUUAAAAAAAAAAAAAAUUAC